rnacentral:tRNA from 1 species
CCUCCUUUCUAAGGAUGAGUGAAAGUAAAAUUUCACUCUAAAUAAUAUACAUCGGUAAUGUUGACCGUCCUCAUUUCUCUUCUUAAAGUAAUGUUUCCUUCUUGUAGGGCCGGUAGCUCAGUUGGUUAGAGCACACCCUUGAUAAGGGUGGGGUCGAAAGUUCGAGCCUUUCUCGGCCCACCAAAAACCUAAAUGGGGGAUUAGCUCAUCUGGGAGAGCGCCUGAUUUGCAUUCAGGAGGUAGCAGGUUCGAUCCCUGUAUCCUCCACCAGGAAACAUUUAGUUAUUAAAACUGUAAAUAAAAAUAAUUUAUAUCAAUAUCUAUAUCCGAACAUUAAAAGUUAUUAUUUAAUGUUCAAAAUAAAAAUUUGAUCACAACAUAGAUUAAUUUUCUGUUAAAAGAAUUUUUUUCUGUGCAUAAAUCAAGCGUUUAAGGGCGUGUAGUGGAUGCCUUGGCACUGAAAGCCGAUG